CCUCCAAUGUUGAUGGUAAAAAUAGAAGAAAGCAUGGAAAGCAAGAAUGCAUAUGGUCUUCGUCAGGAAUGAUACUUCACCAAGUAACUCAAAACUGACCUGUGAUAAUAGAUUUCAAACCUUUCUGGCAUGGAGUAAAUUUAGCCCCGGUGAUGGUUCUUAGAACCAGAAAGGAAACCCCAAUGGCCAUUUUCUUAUGCUAGGUGUGACUGUUGAUUGAUAAUAGAUUUUAUACCAUUCUUGCCUGGCAUAAUUUAGCCCUGGCGAUGGUUCUUAGAACCAGAAAGGAAACCCCAAUGGCCAUUUUUAAUGCUAAGUAUGGCCGUUGAUUUAUAGAAGAUUUUAAAGUUUCUCAGAUUGAGCGGAGGAACAACUGCAGUCCUGCUGCCAAAUGUUCCUUGGAAGAGACAACGCUUGCUGGACACGACUCAGGAAGGAAGAAAAGCCAAAGAAGAAGAAACAAGAGAGCAAGAAAAUGUCUCCAGCCCAAGUGAUGUUGCCUUCUACGCUGUGAGGCAGGUCCUACACCACCUUAAAAGACAGAAGAUUCAAUUGUCAGCCUCCAAUGUUGAUGGUAAAAAAUAGAAGAAAGCAUGGAAAGCAAGAAUGCAUAUGGUCUUCGUCAGGAAUGAUACUUCACCAAGUAACUCAAAACUGACCUGUGAUAAUAGAUUUCAAACCUUUCUGGCAUGGAGUAAAUUUAGCCCCGGUGAUGGUUCUUAGAACCAGAAAGGAAAACUCAACGACCAUUUUCUUAUGCUAGGUGUGACUGUUGAUUGAUAAUAGAUUUUAUACCAUUCUUGCCUGGCAUAAUUUAGCCCUGGCGAUGGUUCUUAGAACCAGAAAGAAAACCCCAAUGGCCAUUUUUAAUGCUAGGUGUGGCCAGUAAUUCAUAAUAGAUUUUAUACCUUUUUUGCCUGGCAUAAUUUAGCCCUGGCGAUGGUUCUUAGAACCAGAAAGGAAACCUCAGUGGCCAUUUUUAAUUCUAGGUGUGGCCAGUAAUUGAUGAUAGAUUUUAUAUGUUUUUUGCCUGGCAUAAUGCUAGGUAUGGCCAUAAAAUCUAUAAAAGAUCUUAGAACUUCUGAGAUUGAGGAGAGGAACAAGUGCAAGCCAUCUGCCAAAUGUUCUUGGAAAGUGGCAACGUUUGUUCAGCAUGGAGAGGAAGAAACAAAAGUGAAAGAAGGAAAAAGAGGAAGAAAAUGUCACCAGCCCAAGCCUGUUAGCCUUCAGCUGUGAUGUGGCCUCUAUGCUGUGAGGGUAUGUAGUACACCCUCUUUGAAGACAGAAGACUGAGUUGUCCACCUCCAGUGCUGAUGGUGAGAAGAGAAGAAAGAAUGGAAAGCAAUGUGAUGUUUGUCAAGAAUGCAUUUUCACCCAGUCAAUCAAAACUGACCUGUAGAAAAAUCUUUGAAAUUGUAAGCCACUCUCAUUAACAUGCCAUACUAUGUAUUUUAAUGUUGUCUGUGUCUUUUUAUAGAUAAUAGAAUUUCUAGUUUUCUUGCCCGGCAUAGUUUUACCCAUGGCGAUGAUUUUUAGAAUCAGAAAGAAAAGGUCAAGUACUCUUUUUAAAUCUAAGCGUGCUCCAUGAUGUAUAUAAGAUUCCAUGGUUUUCUUGCCUCUUGGCUAUUAGUCCAGGCAAUGGUUCUUAAAACCAAAGAGAAUGAUUAUGGCAUUCUCAAAUACUAGUUAGUUAUUAGUUAUUUGGUAUAGUAUAAUGUUAGCCAUAGCUGUAGUUCUUAGAAGUUGAGAACACCCCACAAGCAUCCCAUAUAUCAACAUGGCAUGGAAAGGAUAGUGAGUUGAUGGGGUACAUUUUUCAGGAGCAAGGCUGCACUGUUCCUGAUUCUAUCUGUGCUCAAAGCAGACCCCCACGCAUGAUGGUGGAAAUGCUACGGCCCCGGGAGGACGUGGUCUUCCAGUCACUGAGCAGGCAGUGAGGGCGGAUCCCACUGGAAGAGUCUAGAGCGCACAGAGAGAAGGCUCUCCCAGUCCCUGAGGAUCCCCAAAUGAGCAACCUGGAAGGGAUCCUUUGGGAUCACCAGUCCCCCUCCACUUCGUACUCUGCCUACGUUCACGCAUGACCACAGGUGAGUUGAUGGGGUGCGUUUUUCAGGAGCAAGGCUGCAUGUUCCUCAUUCUAUCUGUGCUGAAAGCAGACCCCCACGCAUGAUGGUGGAAAUGCUACGGCGCCGGGAGGACGUGGUCUUCCAGUCACUGAGCAGGCAGUGAGGGCGGAUCCCACUGGAAGAGUCUAGAGCGCACAGAGAGAAGGCUCUCCCAGU